UGGGGAAUAUUGCACAAUGGGCGAAAGCCUGAUGCAGCGACGCCGCGUGAGGGAUGACGGCCUUCGGGUUGUAAACCUCUUUCAGCAGGGAAGAAGCGAAAGUGACGGUACCUGCAGAGAAGCGCCGGCUAACUACGUGCCAGCAGCCGCGGUAAUACGUAGGGCGCAAGCGUUGUCCGGAAUUAUUGGGCGUAAAGAGCUCGUAGGCGGUUAGUCGCGUCUGCUGUGAAAACUCGAGGCUCAACCUCGGGCUUGCAGUGGGUACGGGCUGACUAGAGUGCGGUAGGGGUGACUGGAAUUCCUGGUGUAGCGGUGGAAUGCGCAGAUAUCAGGAGGAACACCGAUGGCGAAGGCAGGUCACUGGGCCCGCAACUGACGCUGAGGAGCGAAAGCAUGGGGAGCGAACAGGAUUAGAUAGCCCUGGUAGUCCAUGCCGUAAACGUUGGGCACUAGG
rnacentral:rRNA from 1 species